rnacentral:rRNA from 1 species
UACGUAGGCGGAAAAUUAAGUCAGUAGUGAAAUCCUGCAGCUUAACUGUAGAACUGUUAUUGAUACUGGUUUUCUUGAAUAUAGUUGAGGUAGGCGGAAUGUGUAAUGUAGCGGUGAAAUGCUUAGAUAUUACACAGAACACCGAUUGCGAAGGCAGCUUACUAAGCUAUGACUGACGCUGAGGUACGAAAGCGUGGGGAGCGAACAGGAUUAGAUACCCUGGUAGUCC